AUUUCUUUUCAUAUUUUUUUACUAGGAUUGGUACUCAGCUUUUAAGAAACAGAUUCUAUAAUGACAUUUUAUAUUGAAUGAUAAUUAAUUAUUAAGAAGUCAGAAACUUAUUCCCUUGUCUAUUUAGGUGCACCUUUUGAGAUGUGGUUCUUUUCUUGGGUUACAUGAAGUUUUUGAAACUGUUUCAGGACCUUGGGAAUUGUCAUGUUAUUUCUUUUCAAGCUUGUGCUCCAUCAUGGCUGCAGUUUUUAAAUUCCUGUAUUGAACGGUUCUGGUUGGUCUUAGAUAGAUUAACUUCCAGAUUGGGUGUUUUGUAUUUGGGUUUGUUAGACAUGUAGGACAUGUAUCCCUUAAGCCUGUGAUUGUCAGACUUGGGCCAGUAGCUUCCUCCUAAUACAUUAUUUAGAUUUAGGAAACCAACAAUAAGAGAGGAUACGACCAUUCUACUCCUAGGUAUGGAAUUGACUUUAGGAAAGGAGAUGGAUAUACAACGUGGAGAAUUCUUAUUGAUUGAAGGAGAGAUAUUAAGUUAGAUGAUCUGUUGCCUAUUAAAAACCUUUGAUACUGAGCAGGAAAAGGGAAUUUUAUUUAUUUGUUUAUGAUUUAGAUAAUCUUUCUUUCUGAAGUUUAAUAUCAUCUAAGAUUUUUCUUGGAUUAACUAUUUCAUUUCGAUUAUCUUCUUUGGAUUUAAGUUACUAAGAUUUUUUCAGUGUCUUUUUAAGUACAAACUACAUGUAUUCUGGGACACAUUUAUGGUGAACUGUUGCCCUAUUAAAAACCUUUGAUACUGAGCAGGAAAAAGGAAUUUUAUUUGUUUGUUUAUAAUUUAGAUAAUCUUUCUUUCUGAAAUUUAAUAUCAUCUAAGAAUUUUCUUGGAUUAACCAUUACAUUUUGAUUAUCUACUUUGUAUUUAAGUUAAGUUACUAGGAUUUUUUCAGUGUCUUUUUAAGUAACUACAUGUAUUCUGGGACACAUUUAUGGUGAAUUAGACUGAGAUGUGAGAAUUGUUUCAUGCUUCAGACUCCUAUAAGGUUUUCCACUUUUAUUCAAUUUAUUACUUCCUCUUUUUUUGGGAAUUUUUCAAUUUUUUGACUUUGUUGGUAUCCUUGUACUGCUUUACCUUUACACACAAAUCGGUGAAAAGAGAAGGAAUUUGGGAAGGGAGUGGAAAAGGAGGACAAAAACUUGGUGAAAUGUUCCUCAAGAUUCAGUUGUUAUGAUAAUUUCACAUGACAGAUCAACAGGGAGGAGAUGUUAAAGAAAAAAAUGAGGAUUAGUUCAUGAAAUAAGAAAUGAAAUGUGCGGAUAGAGAGUGCAAUGGUUGUUUAACAUGAAAAAAAAGUUCUAUAACAGACUUGGCAGCAAGUAUUCCGUAUAGUUCUCGGCAUGAGCUUUAAUCUGCUUUAAGACCGUGAUCUCC
rnacentral:lncRNA from 1 species